rnacentral:rRNA from 1 species
CACGGGGGGAGCAAGCGUUGUUCGGAAUCCCUGGGCGUAAAGGGCGUGUAGGCGGUCAAGUAAGUGGAAUGUGAAAUGCCCCGGCUCACCCGGGGACCUGCAUCCCAAACUGCUUGGCUUGAGUAUGGGAGAGGAUGAGGGAAUUCCUGGUGUAGCGGUGAAAUGCGUAGAUAUCAGGAGGAACACCGGUGGCGAAGGCGCUCAUCUGGCCCAAUACUGACGCUGAGGCGCGAAAGCUAGGGGAGCAAACGGG